GCCAUAUUAUGUUGAAACAGUGGUUCCCAUAUGACCACCGAAAUUAAGCAGUGUUGAGCCUGGUCAGUACUUAGAUGGGUGACAGCUUGAAAAUACCAUGCCCUG